CAGUUUGUCAAUGUUUUGUGUCUUUGUGUCCCAGCCUCUCCCACCUGCCUGCGUGUAGGCCUACCUUUUACCUGUAGUGUACCUUUCACCUGGCCCUACCUAUUAACCUGUGGAUUUUCAGCUACUUCUGUUUGGACUUAGAAGCAAAGGCCUGUUCCACUGAACUGAAAUCACUCAUUGAAAAUCGCUGAACUGUUCCUGUCUGCCUGGUUGUCUGCAUAUGUGUCUAUACACUAUUAGACACACAGGACAUGGACACUACUUUUUUGCAUUGCACAUAACUAGAAGCUGUCAUCUGCCUCUCUGAUGCUGACUAAUGACGGACCACAACCCUCCCAAAUAUCAGUCCCCAUUCCAAGCCCUUUGGUUUCACCAUCUGUAAGGUCUCCUUGUUCACCAGGUCUCAGUGAUUUCUGCUGGCACAGUAGCAGGUGAGGAGAAGCGUCCUCUCCAAAGAGCCCUAGGCAGACCUGCCUCGCCCUGAGUCAGACCAGAGCCAGCCCACGGCCAGAUGCACACAUAGUGGAAAAAAGGGGAGUGAUCCUCGGCCUGGAAAUGAGAGGCUGGAAAGCUACUGGAGGCCGAAUACAAGCAACACAGGAUAGAAAUAAAGUGGAGGCACUCCUGCAGCACGCACCGUACAUAAAAACAACAUUUAAGAGAUCAUCAGACUAAAACCAAAAGCUUUUUCAGUAACUACAGAAGGCUGUAAAGUGGAUGGUAAUGAAUUGUGUUUUCCAACUUUACUUUCUUUUGCAAAGGCAUGCAGCACCUUUUACGAGGCAAACGCUCUCUUUCUCUCCUCCGUCUCCCAGAUUAACUGGCCUGCAUGUUUUAAAGUCUUGGCUUGAUGUCAAUGACUCUGUAAAAUAAAUGAAAUCAACUAAAUUGAGUUGGAUUUGCAACAUCUGUCCUCUACAAAAUGGACAAAUAAAAACUCGGUUGGAGUAAAUUUGCAUUUCUACAAAUUGUUCCGCGCACUCUUUCAGAUUAAAAGUGCGUAUGUUGCAAAUAUACUCAAAGCACUUGACCAAAUGCAUUUACAUUUUAAGCAGCUAAUACUCUUAUUAAGAUUGACCUACAGUGAGUGCAAUAGUAGAGCUGGAUUUCUAGUUUUCAAUAAUAAAAUACGGGACUACUUGUAUUUGCUGUACAACAGAAAACAGCAUAUUAUAUAACAAACUUUAAAGCGAAAUAGAAAUAAGAAUCUCAUCUUUGUUCCCAUGAUUUGUAUGUUAAACAUCCAUAAAAUCCUGUGCCUGUGUGUUUUCGCUCAGGUUUGGUGUUCCCCUUCAGCCACGAUGGCCUUCAUACAGUUUUAUUGUGAAGAAUGGGCAGCAUGUGAAGCUCUGAUGUUUCCUAUAUGUGCUGCGACGGGUUAAACAGACAGCUGUAGUAAAUGAGGCGUUGAAAGAAGAAACCUUCAUGUCCUUCUCUCCCCUUCUUUCCACCGCUGACAUAUUAGAGCCUCCUCCACUUCUUGCACUUGGUGAUCUUGCUGUCUUGUGUAAUAUCUGGCCACAUGCACAAAAGAAAUUUCUCCUCUUUAAUGGGUUCAUGCAAGUCAUCGGUUAUAAAAUUAAAAAAAAGCCGCCAGCUACUAACUAACACCGCACCCAAUUUGACUGUUAUCAGGCCAUUAAAUAGGCGUUAUCAGUUGCUAUAAGCAUCAGAGAUGUGGGUCAUUAGGGGCCUAAUAUGUCUACCACAUUGCAAAAGUUUCACAUUGUAGUGAAGCAACACGUUCUAACAUGAAUGAAACGUCACCUUUUGAACACAAACAAAAAGGCUUCUUUAGGUUUAGGCAAAAAAAACAACACAACACACAAGUUUAGGGAAAAACACUGUGUUUUGGAUUAAAAUAACUAAGACAACUACACAUUGUUGGUUUCACACAGGAUGCAAACUCCGGUCUCCUGGGUGGAAACCCUGUGUUUCGUGUCCCAUCCAUCAUCCCUGACCUCCACCUGUUACGAGUUUCACACUCUACAGAACCUGACUUCCGCUUCUGCUCCUGUCAUCAUUACUACGGUCGCUAGAGGUCGCUGUCAUCUUUUUUUAGGUGAUUUACCAUG